rnacentral:rRNA from 1 species
AGUGAACGCUGGCGGUAGGCCUAACACAUGCAAGUCGAACGGCAGCACAGUAAGAGCUUGCUCUUACGGGUGGCGAGUGGCGGACGGGUGAGGAAUACAUCGGAAUCUACUUUUUCGUGGGGGAUAACGUAGGGAAACUUACGCCAAUACCGCAUACGACCUACGGGUGAAAGCAGGGGAUCUUCGGACCUUGCGCGAUUGAAUGAGCCGAUGUCGGAUUAGCUAGUUGGCGGGGUAAAGGCCAACCAAGGCGCCGAUCCGUAGCUGGUCUGAGAGGAUGAUCGGCCACACUGGAACUGAGACACGGUCCAGACUCCUACGGGAGGCAGCAGUGGGGAAUAUUGGACAAUGGGCGCAAGCCUGAUCCAGCCAUACCGCGUGGGUGAAGAAGGCGUUCGGGUUGUAAAGCCCUUUUGUUGGGAAAGAAAAGCAGCAGGUUAAUACCCCGCUGUUCUGACGGUACCCAAAGAAUAAGCACCGGCUAACUUCGUG